AGCUCCAAUAGCGUAUAUUAAAGUUGUUGCGGUUAAAAAGCUCGUAGUUGGAUCUCGGCCCGUUUGGGGUGGUUUCGCAAAUCGCGAGCACUGUCCUUUUAAACGGGCGUUUUUAACGGAGGAAUUUAGGUGCUCUUAAUCGAGUGUCUAGGUUCGCCGUUAGGUUUACUUUGAAAAAAUUAGAGUGCUCAAAGCAGGCAAUUUUCGCUUGAAUAUUCGUGCAUGGAAUAAUGGAAUAGGACGUCGUUUCUAUUUUGUUGGUUUUUAUGAAAUUGACGUAAUGAUUGAUAGGGACAGACGGGGGCAUUAGUAUUCAAACGACAGAGGUGAAAUUCUUGGACCGUUUGAAGACUAACUACUGCGAAAGCAUUUGCCAAGGAUGUUUUCAUUAAUCAAGAAC
rnacentral:rRNA from 1 species